GGGGCCGCGCGGCUCCGCCCUCCCGCCACUCAGCUGGGCUCGGGAGCGCGCGGCGCGGCUCCGCCGGGGCUGUGGAGGCGAGGUAGCGGCUAGACCGGAGCGCCGCAGGUGACCCGGGCGGGGAGUCCGGUGCGCGGGGCGGGCGGAGAAGAAGCGGGCUGGAGGCGCGUCCCCGUCCCCCCUCUUCGCUUGGUUGUCUUCCAGCCUAAGGCACUGGGCUGAGGGGACACGGCGAGCUCCCAGACGCGCGAGGCUCCCGGACAGCCGGCGGCGCUCGCGGCCCUCAGCAUGUUCGGUGAGGCGAGGCUUUUCCUCCCGCCCGUGGGCUGAAGCGGCGGCGGCGGCUGCGGCGGCCACGCAAGCGAGAUGCACCUGCCGGGCUCGGCUUAGAGGAGCGUCCGGGCCGCCAGCGGGAGAGCUUUCGUCACCCAGCCCCGGCGGCGACCGCGGGCCCGAGCCGCAGCGACGGGUGGGCGCACCGACAUGGCGGCUCGGAGCGCCCCGAGCUGCCACCUGCGGCUCGAGUGGGUGUACGGCUACCGGGGCCACCAGUGCCGCAACAACCUCUACUACACGGCGGCCAAGGAGAUCGUGUACUUCGUGGCGGGGGUCGGCGUGGUGUAUAGUCCGCGGGAGCAUCGGCAGAAGUUCUUCCGCGGCCACAGCGACGACAUCAUCAGUCUUGCACUGCAUCCUGAGCGAGUGUUGGUAGCAACAGGACAAGUUGGGAAAGAGCCUUACAUCUGUGUUUGGGAUUCUUACACUGUCCAGACCGUGUCGGUUCUGAAGGAUGUUCAUACACAUGGUAUAGCUUGUUUGGCAUUUGACUUGGAUGGACAGCGCUUGGUUUCAGUUGGACUCGAUUCAAAGAAUGCAGUUUGUGUUUGGGACUGGAAAAGGGGGAGAAUGCUGUCUAUGGCUCCAGGUCACACCGACAGAAUAUUUGAUAUUUCUUGGGAUUUGUACCAGCCAAAUAAACUCGUCAGCUGUGGUGUAAAACACAUCAAGUUCUGGAGUUUGUGUGGAAAUGCUCUGACCCCAAAACGCGGAGUUUUUGGUAAAACAGGUGACCUUCAGACAAUAUUGUGCCUCGCCUGUGCUCGGGAUGAGCUAACAUAUUCUGGUGCACUCAAUGGGGAUAUAUAUGUAUGGAAAGGAAUCAAUCUUAUACGAACAAUACAAGGAGCCCAUACUGCAGGGAUUUUUAGUAUGAACUCUUGUGAAGAAGGCUUUGCUACUGGUGGCAGAGAUGGCUGUAUUCGUCUUUGGGAUUUAACUUUUAAACCAAUUACUGUGAUUGAUCUCAGGGAAACAGAACAAGGAUACAAAGGUUUAUCUGUGAGGAGUGUUUGUUGGCGAGGUGACCACAUUUUAGUGGGAACGCAGGACAGUGAAAUUUUUGAAAUUGUUGUGCAUGAAAGAAAUAAACCUUUCCUAAUUAUGCAAGGGCAUUGCGAAGGUGAACUUUGGGCGCUUGCUGUUCACCCUACUAAGCCUUUGGCUGUGACCGGAAGUGAUGAUCGUUCAGUCAGGAUUUGGAGCCUUGUAGAUCAUGCUUUAAUAGCAAGAUGUAAUAUGGAAGAGCCAAUUCGGUGUGCUGCUGUAAAUGUAGAUGGAAUUCAUCUUGCCCUUGGAAUGAAGGAUGGGUCGUUCACUGUCCUUAGAGUGAGAGACAUGACUGAAGUUGUACAUAUUAAAGACAGGAAAGAAGCAAUCCAUGAGCUAAAAUAUUCACCAGAUGGCGCUUACCUUGCUGUUGGCUGCAAUGACAGCUCAGUUGACAUCUAUGGAGUUGCUCAGCGUUAUAAAAAGGUCGGUGAAUGUGUCGGCUCCCUUAGCUUCAUCACUCACUUGGACUGGUCUUCAGAUAGUAGAUACUUACAGACAAAUGAUGGCAGUGGAAAGCGACUUCUCUACAAGAUGCCAGGAGGAAAGGAGGUGACAAGCAAAGAAGAAAUAAAAGGCAUGCACUGGGCUUCCUGGACAUGCGUUGCAGGCCUUGAAGUCAAUGGAAUUUGGCCCAAGUAUUCUGAUAUCAAUGAUAUAAACUCAGUCGAUGGCAAUUAUGUUGGCCAGGUUUUAGUUACAGCUGAUGACUACGGAGUUGUAAAAUUAUUCCGAUACCCAUGUUUGAGAAAAGGGGCCAAGUUUAGAAAGUACAUUGGCCAUUCAGCUCAUGUAACUAAUGUCAGAUGGUCACAUGAUUAUCAGUGGGUUAUCUCUAUUGGUGGAGCAGAUCAUUCUGUCUUUCAGUGGAAAUUUAUUCCUGAGAGAAAACUAAAAGAUGCUCUUCACAUAGCACCGCAAGAAAGUCUGGCUGAGUCCAACAGUGAUGAAUCAGAUUCAGAUCUGUCUGAUGUUCCAGAACUGGAUUCUGAGAUUGAGCAAGAGACACAGCUUACUUACCACCGGCAGGUUUACAAAGAAGAUCUACCUCAACUUAAAGAACAAUGCAAAGAGAAGCAGAAAAGUGCUACUUCUAAACGAAGAGAACGCACUCCAGGAACUAGUAUUCGAUUGCACUUUAUUCAUGGUUACAGAGGUUAUGACUGUCGAAGUAAUCUUUUCUACACUCAAAUUGGUGAAAUUGUGUACCACGUGGCAGCAGUGGGUGUCAUAUAUAAUAGACAACAGAACACACAGCGUUUUUACUUGGGUCAUGAUGAUGAUAUUCUGUGUUUGGCUAUUCAUCCUUUGAAAGACUAUGUGGCAACAGGCCAGGUAGGUAGAGAUCCCUCAAUUCAUGUAUGGGACACAGAAACCAUUAAACCAUUGUCUAUAUUAAAGGGCUACCACCAAUAUGGCAUCUGUGCUGUUGAUUUCUCAGCUGAUGGGAAACGCCUGGCUUCAGUUGGAAUAGAUGACAGCCACACCAUUGUAUUGUGGGACUGGAAGAAAGGGGAGAAACUUUCAGUGACAAGAGGCAGUAAAGAUAAGAUUUUUGUUGUGAAAAUGAACCCCUAUGUGCCUGAUAAACUAAUUACAGCUGGGAUUAAACACAUGAAAUUUUGGCGUAGAGCAGGGGGAGGAUUAAUUGGAAAAAAAGGCUACGUAGGCACUCUGGGGAAAAACGACACAAUGAUGUGUGCAGUGUACGGAUGGACUGAAGAGAUGGCUUUUUCUGGAACAUCCACAGGAGAUGUGUGCAUCUGGAGAGAUGUUUUUCUUGUAAAAACAGUUAAAGCCCAUGAUGGGCCCGUGUUCAGUAUGCAUGCAUUGGAGAAAGGAUUUGUAACUGGAGGAAAAGAUGGUAUGGUAGCCCUUUGGGAUGAUUCCUUUGAAAGAUGCCUCAAGACCUAUGCUAUAAAAAGAGCUGAUUUAGCCCCAGGAUCUAAAGGUCUGCUCUUGGAAGAUAACCCAUCUAUACGUGCCAUAUCAUUAGGGCAUGGUCAUAUUUUGGUUGGCACAAAGAAUGGUGAGAUAUUAGAAGUGGAUAAGAGUGGCCCAAUCACUCUUCUGGUCCAGGGACACAUGGAAGGAGAGGUGUGGGGUUUGGCCACACAUCCUUACCUGCCCAUCUGUGCUACUGUAAGUGAUGAUAAGACCUUAAGAAUAUGGGAUCUCUCUCCUAGUCAUUGUAUGUUGGCAGUCCGGAAACUGAAAAAGGGGGGCCGCUGCUGCUGCUUUUCCCCUGAUGGAAAAGCUUUGGCUGUGGGUCUCAACGACGGAAGCUUCUUAAUGGCCAAUGCUGACACUCUGGAGGAUCUUGUGUCCUUUCACCACAGAAAAGAUAUUAUUUCAGACAUCCGGUUUUCACCUGGUUCUGGGAAAUACCUAGCUGUGGCAUCCCAUGACAGCUUCGUUGAUAUAUACAACGUGACGAGUAGUAAACGAGUGGGGGUUUGCAAAGGAGCAACCAGCUACAUCACCCAUAUCGACUGGGACAGCAGAGGAAAGCUUUUACAAGUCAACACUGGUGCUAAAGAACAGCUAUUCUUUGAAGCUCCCAGAGGAAAAAGACAAACCAUCCCCAGUGUGGAGGUGGAAAAAAUUAGUUGGGCAACAUGGACAAGUGUUCUUGGUUUAUGCUGUGAGGGAAUUUGGCCGGUGAUUGGAGAAGUCACAGAAGUAACCGCCUCUUGCCUCACCAGUGACAAAAUGGUCCUAGCCACAGGGGAUGACUUGGGAUUCGUGAAGCUGUUCAGAUACCCAGCUAAAGGAAAAUUUGGAAAGUUUAAGAAGUAUGUGGCUCACAGCACACAUGUCACAAAUGUUCGCUGGACUUAUGAUGACAGCAUGCUGGUUACCCUGGGAGGAGCAGAUAUGUCCUUAAUGGUAUGGACAAAUGAAGUGGAGAGCCAUCGAGAAAAGAAGUACUGUGACAGUGAAGAGUCUGAUAUAGAUUCUGAAGAAGAUGGAGGCUAUGACAGCGAUGUUACAAGAGAGAAUGAAAUUAGCUAUACCAUCAGAGCCUUAUCAACAAAUAUUCGCCCAAUGUUUGGAGUCAAGCCUCAUUUGCAACAGAAAGAGCCAUCAGUUGAUGAAAGUGUUCUUCUGAUGUUAUUUUAUUCUGCUUGCUCAUUGUCACAUGGACUCACCAUCAAUUUCCUAUUGUCCCUUCUUCUCUUCUGCUCAAAGACAGGGGGUAGUAAGGCCUCCAGUGAGUAGGGCCCCACCACAGCCAGAGAAACUUCAGUCAAACAAUGUUGGCAAGAAGAAGAGACCUAUAGAGGACCUUGUGUUGGAGCUUGCUUUUGGCUAUCGGGGCAGAGACUGCAGGAACAAUGUGCACUAUUUAAAUGAUGGUGAUGAUAUAAUUUAUCACACUGCCUCUAUUGGAAUUCUACACAAUGUUGCCACAGGGACUCAGAGUUUUUAUCAAGAGCAUAAUGAUGAUAUUUUGUGCCUCACUGUAAAUCAGCACCCCAAAUUUAUCAACAUAGUGGCAACUGGCCAAGUGAUUCUGCAGACAUGUCAGGGGCCAAAAUUGCCAGCAGAGGUGGGCACAACCAACGUAUUUUUGUAGCAGAAUUUCGACCAGAUUCAGAUACCCAGUUUGUCUCUGUGGGUAUAAAGCACGUGAAGUUCUGGACCCUGGCAGGAAGGGCUCUUCUCAGCAAAAAGGGACUUCUGAGCAGCCUGGAGGAUGCCCGGAUGCAGACGAUGCUUGCUGUUGCAUUUGGUGCAGUAUGUCUGUUAAAGUGCUGUGUGAUGGUGUGAUCUUGAAUUUGUCUUACUGUGUAUUCAUAAACAGCAUUAAUACUGACUGGGAACUGUAACCCGACAGUCAUUACAAGUCCCUGUCAAGGACAUAAAUCAUCUCUUUAAAAGUCUGAUCCUUUAACCAUUAAGGUGUGGCAGAAAGUGAAUGAGGUCAUUACUGCAGUGUUGGCAUCCUUGGAUCAUUCCUAUUCUCCAAGGCUUCAUUGGCUGUGUGCUUGUCACCACUGCAAGCGACAAAGCUGAGCCUCCUAGUGCUUCCUCCUGCACCUCACGUGUGUUAUCGGCAAAGAAGGGGAAGUGAAAAACCACAUCCAGGUGGUUUCAGGGCAGAUUUGGAUGUAAAGUGUCCUUUGCUCUGUCACUGGGACCUGUUCAUCUUGUGGUUGGAAGUGCUCUGGGCCACUGUCCCUUUCAGGGGAGCACAGUCCCUGCCUUAGUGGAGGAGUCAAGAGCCUCUUGCUUUCUGUCAUUCCAUCCACCUGUGUCUGACGAUUAUAAUCGCAUCUCUCUCCUUUAAUACCCUGCCCUGGCUAGGCUUUUCAAACUCUUUGGUUCCACAGAAAACUAAGUGGACUUUUAAAAAAUAUGUGGGCAUUAUAUAUUAAGAAAGAAAGUUACACGGUUAGAACAGUUGAACACAAUUUUUAAAAAACUAACAAUAUCAAACAAAUGGAACCUCUUGUAUAUUUUUAUAUUUGUAUAUUUUGUAUAUUUUUUUUCUGGAGCAAUCACUUGUUUCCAGAAAAAAAUCCCAUGUUGGAAAGACCCUGGCAUUUGAUCUGCCCAUGCAGAUGAACUUUCUUCAUUUACUUUGUACCCAAGUGUCCAUUUUUGGUCAAAAUAAAUUAGCAAACAAGCUUGACAGCUAAUACAGGGGGUGGGGGAGGAGUAGCUUUUUAAUAUGCAAGACAGCAGUGUGGACAGAAUGUCUCCUCACAAGAUAAGUCUGUGUUCAGCACUUCUCAACUGCUGUAAGUACACAUGAGAACAGAACCCUGCAGACAAACUUACGAGGAGCCAUGUGAGGAGAAAAGGAGGAAGCACGCUGAUGUUCACAGCUGAAGCAUACUCUGACUGUAGCAAGGCACCAAAUAAUGACUUCCUACAUCUGCAGGAGUUAGUGAGGUCUCUAACUUCACUGUAAGGAGAUUUACUUUCUAUAAAGAAAAUCCUUAAAUAAGGGGGGGUGUGCUGGAGAGAUGGAUGACUCAGUGGUUAAGAGCAUCAACUGCUCUUCCAAAGGUCCUGAGUUCAAUUCCCAGCAACCACAUGGUGGCUCACAACCAUCUGUAAUGGGAUCUGAUGCCCUCUUCUGGUGUGUUUGAAGUCAGCUACAGUGUACUCACAUAAAUAAAUCAAAUCUUUAGAAAGGGAGGGAGGGAAGGAAGGAAGGAAGGGAGGAAGGAAGGAAGGAAGGAAGGAAGGAAGGAAGGAAGGAAGGAAAGAAGGGAGUGAGGGAGGAAGGGAGAGAGGAGAGAAAAGAAAAGAAGAGAAAAGAAAAGAGAAAAAAGAAAAAAAGAGAAAAGAAAAGAAAAUCCUUACCAAGCUCAUGUUAUUUUCAUCCCUAUCUCUAUCUGCCCCUUGUUUUUACUCCUAGUGUUUGGUGACCUUUGACUUAGUUACUGGACAGCCAAAGGCACCUAUCAAAAGAGCAGUGCAAGCCAGAUCUACAGUAUUUUAGGAGAGAUUUACCCAGGGCUAAUCUCACUACUAAAGGACAGACUUGAGAAAGGGAAGAGCCUCCCGGAGCUAGGCCUCACUUCAGCCUCCUGCCCUGGGUCGUGUCUCCCAGCACCUGUUGCAUGUGCUUUGUCAAAGCAGGUGACCUAGCAUUCCACCCACAUAGAGGAUGACAUCUGUGCGAGCUCUCUUUGAACUUUUGAUGAGUUUGUCUCCCCCCUUCCCCACUCCUUUUCAGAAUAACUUGACGUUUACAGGUACCAUCAGUGGUGAUGUCUGUGUGUGGAAAGAUCACAUAUUGUGCAGAGUGGUGGCUAGAGCGCACAAUGGGCCUGUGUUUGCCAUGUACACCACCCUGCGAGACGGACUGAUUGUGACCGGUGGCAAGGAAAGGCCGUGAGUCCCUUUUCAUAUCCUAGCUGUUUACACAUUUGCUAUCUACCCAAGGCUUAGUGAGGUGUUGGAGGCUCUUCCUUCUAGGCUGUGCAGGCUAAAUUACUCAUGUACUUCUCCUUCAUUGUUAUCUGUGUAGACUCUGGAUUCUCUGAAUUCUUGUCUUAAUUCACUUUUCUGCAUUUCAUUUUUCAUUUAUUUUUUACAUUUAUUAUGUGGGAAGGGAUGGAGGAAGGUAUGUGCCCCAGCCCAUGUAUAGAAACCAGAGGACAAUCAGUGUAAUAAUGGUUCUCUCCUUCACUGUGUGCAUUGAGGCCAAACCCAGAUCAUCGGGCUUAGAGUGUCUGUGCCCACUGUAUCAUCUUGCCAGCCCACUGUUGGACAUUUUACACACACCUGAACUGCAGCCAGGGUUCUACUUGUCUGAGACAGUUGUCCCUCUGAUUAAGAAUAGUGUCCCAAGUCCAUGUUUGUUUGCAUCAGUAUUGCUGACAGGACAUGAAGGGAACCCUUUACUAUAGAACCCAGGUUGCAUCUUGAUCCCCUGUUGUCUCCCCAUUGUAAGGUUUCUGUAGCUAUAUGAGCAAGGAGAGAGAGAGUGCUGGAGACGGCCUUGCGAAAUCGGUCUUCUAAGACCUUAAACAGAAGUGUGAGGAGAGACCUUCAAGUCACUUUCAAGUACCUACACUGUAACCAGAUACUUAAAACUGAUUUGUAGGCUGAGGUGAGGGCUCAGGGAGUAAACGUACUUGCUCUAUGUGCCUGAUGACCUGAGAGUCAAUCCUAGGACCCACAAAAACCUGGAAAAGCCAAACCAAGUAGCAUAAGUAUUUGUAAUCCCAACACUGCCCCAUUGGAGAAGCCCAGCCAGAUGAUCAUUUGGAUCAUCUGCAAAGAAAGAUAUCUAAAACAUGGUGGAAAGGGAAGCCUGACACAUGAUGGAGGUGCACACUGGCCUGUGACCACACACAUAACCAAAAAUUAAAAAGAAAAAGAAUUGAGGGUCUGGAGAGACAGCUCAGCAGUUAUGAGCAUAGACUCCUCUUGAAGAGGACCCGAAGUACACACACACACACACACACACACACACACACACACACCAAGACAUGUAUGCACAUAAUUUAAAAAUCUGUCAAAAGUCAAAUUAAGGCUGGGUGUGGUGGUGCACCUGGGGAGCAGUGGCAGGCGAUCUCUGAGUUCGAGGCCAGCCUGUCUACACAGAUGUUGCCACAGUCACAUAGUGUGACUGUCUCAGACCCUGUGCUCCUUCCUCGCAAAAGAUAAAAUCCAUUUGCUACCAGUGUAGUCACCUGCAGAGUAGAAAUGACACAGCAACUGAAGGGCAGUCUCUCCUGCAGGUUGGAGCCCAGUUCUCUACUGAGCAGGAGUUAUGGGAAGGUGUUUUCUCCAACUACAGCAAACAAACUGAAUUAUUUUUCAGUUCUUUCGAGAGAAACUCCAUAAGUCGCUCUACUUCACCCUUUCUAUAGUACUCGAAAGCCAAGUGUCUCCCACUGCACACUGCCUCAUUCCGCACCUCCACUCACUGCCAGCUACACUGUCUCAGCAGUGGAUCUUAGUGAUUGUAGAAGUGUGAUGUCCUUUUGGCCCUUAAAGGUAAAAUCCGUGGCACUGCAUCUAUAAUCCUCUUUUUGCUUUAUAUUUUAGUUAUCUUUCUAAUGUUAAAAAUGGUUUGGUUUGUUUUUUUGUUUUUUUUUUUUAAUGGUUUUGUUGGGCUGGUAUGAUAGCUUAGCAUUCCUGGGGAUGAGUUCAAUCCCCAGGUAAAGAGGUAGAAGGGGCAACAGAUUCCAGAGUCGUCCUCUGACCUCCAUCAUCACCCCGUGGUAUGUACACAUACACACAAUUAUUUAAAAAAUGUGGAUUUUCUUAGUGGAGAGCUAUAAUGAAAAGUGCAUUGUGAUGAAUCAUGGACUAAAUACAAUUAUGCUUGUGUCAGAAGAAAAUUUUAUUUCACAAAAUAAAAUUAACUGAACUGAGUAUAUGUAUCUUGAUUGAAAUACAGUAUGUAUCCGUAAAUUUCCUGAAAAUUUAGAAUACUGGAAGUUAUAAAUAAGGUAUUUAAAAUACUCCUGACAACUAAGUGUUUAUAGUGAAAAUUAUUGUAGUGGUCAAUUAUAAAUACUUACUUGGGUUUUGUUUUUAUAUACCUAGGUCAAAGGAAGGAGGCGCAGUUAAACUGUGGGAUCAGGAACUGAGGCGAUGCCGGGCCUUCAGGCUUGAGACAGGACAAGUCACAGAUUGUGUUCGGUCUGUGUGCAGAGGCAAAGGCAAGAUACUAGUUGGGACAAGGAAUUCGGAAAUAAUUGAAGUUGGAGAGAAAAAUGCAGCAUGUAACAUUUUAGUUAAUGGCCAUGUGGAUGGGCCAAUCUGGGGACUCGCAACACAUCCCUCCAGGGACUUCUUCCUUUCUGCUGCUGAAGAUGGGACAGUGAGACUCUGGGACAUUGCUGAUAAAAAGAUGCUAAACAAAGUGAAUUUGGGACACGCUGCUCGGACAGUGUGUUAUAGCCCCGAAGGGGACAUGGUGGCUAUUGGAAUGAAAAAUGGAGAAUUUAUUAUAUUACUUGUGAGUUCUCUAAAAAUAUGGGGAAAGAAGAGAGACAGGCGAUGUGCAAUCCAUGAUAUCAGAUUUAGCCCAGAUUCCCGGUAUUUGGCGGUGGGUUCCAGUGAGAACUCAGUGGACUUUUAUGACCUGACACUGGGUCCCACACUUAACAGAAUCAGCUACUGCAAAGACAUUCCAAGCUUUGUCAUUCAGAUGGACUUCUCUGCAGAUAGCAGACAUCUCCAGGUUUCUAGUGGCUGCUAUAAACGGCAUGUCUAUGAAGUGCCUUCAGGAAAACACCUUGUGGAUCAUGCUGCCAUUGACAGGAUCACGUGGGCUACCUGGACUAGUAUUCUAGGAGAUGAAGUUAUGGGAAUCUGGUCCAGACAUGCUGAGAAGGCGGAUGUCACCUGUGCCUGUGUGUCUCACUCAGGAAUCAGCCUUGUGACAGGAGAUGACUUUGGCAUGGUUAAAUUAUAUGACUUUCCAUGCCCAGAAAAAUUUGCAAAGCACAAGAGGUUCUUGGGUCAUUCCCCUCAUGUGACAAAUAUUCGAUUUACCAGUGGUGAUCGGCAUGUUGUCAGUGCUGGAGGCGAUGACUGCAGUUUGUUUGUCUGGAAAUGUGUACACAUGCCUCACUGAAAGGUAUGAUGCUGAGAAGACUAAACAAAUCUCACCUCAAGAGACCAGUUCCACGUUGGAAAAACCAAAACCAAACUGCAUGGUCAAGUGGUGCUAACUGAGGACUGUGACGGGGAGGGAUGUGCAGAAUCAUCCACACUGCAGCACACAGACAGACAGACGGUUUAAAAUGCCUGCUGUAUGUACCGACCUAUCGUCCACACACUGCCAGAUAAUUACAUUGCAAGAAAUGACUGAGUAUUGGGUAAAAGCCAACCUCCUCCUCUUAUUGAGGAGUGUGGAAUUUUGGCAGACUUGCCCAGGAGAUUUUUAGGGUAUAGCAGUCUGAAAAACAAAACAAACCAACUUCAUCUCAUUUCUAACGUUUCUCCUUAAGGUUUGUUCGAUGAAAUAUUUCACCCUUAUACAAGGAAAGGAAUGGCCAACCAUCACCCGAAUCUGUUUUCAAAAAUGCAAAGAUUUUUCGUAAGGGAACUUACAUUAAUAAAGUACCCUCUGCAAAGGCCAUGUUACAGCCUGAACUAAGGAUAGAUCCAGAGUCAGCAGUACAUGGCUACUAUAUUUUCAUUUUGAGCUGUGUUUAGAAGCCAUCUCUAUAAAAUUAUGAAUCACAAUUAUGGCCUCAUUAAUAGGAAAAUAAUACAGUGAACUUCAUUUCCAAGUUUUCUUAAGGUUCUGUGAUAGCCAGAGCACUUAACUGAAAGAUAAUACUGCAUAUUUAAAGGUAUGAUCUAACUAAUAAACAUUUGUUUAUUGUGUAAACACAAGCAUUAAAUUCAUAUACUAAUAAACCUGGGCAUAAAGUUUUAUAGUUUUGUAUUGAGAAAAAUAAUUUAAUUAAUUAGAUGUAUGCCACCCUAUAAGGCUAUUUUCCAAAAUGACUGACUCCAGGUUCAUCUGAAGAGCUCAGAGUCCUUCCACUCAAUGCUGCCAAAGACUGGGACUUCCUGUCUAAGACUUUGCUGUUUUAGCCUCACUAAAGUUUCCUCAAGAUGAAAAGUCCAGUAGACUGCUGCAUAAAAAUUUAUUUUUCUACGUGUGAAGACACUGAGGAUGCUCUACUGGUUGUUUCCACUUUUAUUUCACUGUGUGAGUUAUUGUUGUAGCAGUAGACUCCAACCCCUCAGGCUUCUGGAACCCUGUUUGGUUUGAUAUGUUUUCUAUGGCUAAAAAUAUUGUGACUAUUAAAACCAGAAAUGAA